GGAGGAAACAACAUUCACCCCAAAGACUCAGAUGAAGAGGCUUGAAGGAUGGGAUCAUUCUGGAGGAGAAAAGCGGGGCAGCAUCAAACCCCUCCCACUGGGGCAACCUGCUGAGCAUCUCCCUGGCCUUGGCCCCUGGCCAUACCACACAAGUGUCCAAUGAGUCACUGAUCCUGAAGAACAAGAGAAGACUGACCACAGACCCCAAAAGGAAGCAGGAGUACAACCUUCGAAGUUGGUGGGCAACAAGAGGUCAGAGGUUGACAAGCAUCCACACAGCUCUAAGACUAGCAUCAUGUGGCUACCCAGGACCUGGGAGAGUGCUGCAGAGCAGGAGCAGGAAAGGGACCGGCUGUUCCCAUAGAACUUCAUGUCACAGGUCUGGGAGCCAGGGGGCCUUGGUUCUAGUCCCAACUCUCCCUCUAAGUUGUCUUAUGGCCACAGCAAUGAACCAAGACAAUGAGAAGUAGCGAGUACAGUUGAGGAGGCCUUGUCUGAGGAGGAGGCAGGUUUUCAUGAAGAUGCAGCAGAUCAUCUGGGAGAAAUUGAGAAUGAGGAAGGACUUGAUAAUAGGGCAUCUUAGUUCUGCUGAACACUCCUGAAUAAAGGGGAGGCCACAAGUCCCCACAUCUGGAUAAGGAGCCCAGUUGGUGGGCAUGGAACGGACCUUGACACAGAAGAGAAUGGAGAUAUGGGAGCCAUGUCCUGGAACCCUGGCUUGGUGUUGAAAUAAAUUAGAAGCUGACUUGCUGUGCAGCUGGUAAAGCUUCCACUUCGGGGCCCUUCAGUUGCAUGGGCCUUUCCCAAGACCCCAGGGAAGGGCUUA
rnacentral:lncRNA from 10 species